GCCCCGUUCCCCAUUCCGCAACUGCGGCGAUACGAGAAAGCGGCGGCGAGGGCCCGCCUCAGCCGGGCAGCUGUGCGAUGCUCCCUGCUCACGCCUGCAAACGCUCCUUCCCCCGCUCGGCUCACCUCCUGGCGGAGCGCGGGUUUCCCGUAGAUUUUAAUAGAAGCUUGUGCUGGAAACAGGUCAAGAAGAAGGACUAGCCAUCAAACCAUAUUUUUAACAUAGCUACUGCAGUUCCCCACAGAGAACAUUUUUGUCAUUGUUCCUCAGACAUGAACUUGUUGGAUCUGACUGUGCUUUCAUCUUUCUAGUGCUAUCCAGAAGUAACUCGAGUGGAAGUACACAAAAUACAGGGAUGCGAGAGUGGUAUAAGGGAGAUUUAAAAUGGACUUGUGAAAGAAUUUCUCCUGCCUUGCCAUAUGGAUAUUGAUUUCUCUCCCUCAGGCAGAAUAUAAUUGCCUGCUCUAAUUUAGCAUUGAUCUACCCACCCAAGUUUCUUAAAGUGCUACACAGGCCUCAAUUAAAUUAUUCCUAAUACCACCUUUGUGAAGUAGGAUAGCUGUAAUUACUCACACUUAGAAAAUGGUGAGAGGUAAAAAGCGAUUUGUCCAAACCAUGCAGUGCAACAAGACACGAUUAAAGCAGGAGGCAAACAUACUAUGCCAUGUGCUGUACGUCAAAUUACCCUGAGUUUUUCUAAUAGCAAAAUAUUUGUUCAUCCAAUAUUUUGUGAUUCCAAUGAACCACACUUGGUUAGAUACUAAGUGUACCAGGACUUCUGUUGUUCUUAUCAAUACAUCUAUUUUCUCCUUCAUGAGACCUCUAGAGAUCAUUGAGUCCAGCCCCCUGCAAAGCGGGCCCCCUACAAAGGAAUAACACCUCUUGCUGCUGAAUUCAACAAAUGUGGUCUCGCCACUAUUUUUAAGUGUCAUUUUAUUUAUUAGUUCAAGAGAAACCAGCCAGACUGAUACUGAGGAGAAACAAGUACAAAGUAUUUUGUAUACACACCCAAUAGAUCAGAAAAAAUGCAGGUUUUAGCAACUGAAGGAGCCCAACACUAAGG
ensembl:lncRNA